UACGAAGGGGGCGAGCGUUGUUCGGAUUUACUGGGCGUAAAGGGCGCGCAGGCGGCUUUUCAAGUCAGGCGUGAAAGCCCCGGGCUUAACCUGGGAACUGCAUUCGAGACUGCAUUGCUAGAGUAUGGGAGAGGGAAGUGGAAUUUCCGGUGUAGCGGUGAAAUGCGUAGAUAUCGGAAGGAACACCAGUGGCGAAGGCGGCUCACUGGCCCGAUACUGACGCUGAGACGCGAAAGCGUGGGGAGCGAACAGG
rnacentral:rRNA from 1 species